rnacentral:lncRNA from 1 species
UAAGCCCUGUUCGUUUUGACAACGCUGCGACUAGAGUCAGCGUCAAAAAACUGUUAAUGAUUUCCUUCUUGACUCAUCGGUGGGCUGAGAAACAGAAGACGCUGCGAUUAAAUAAUCAAACGAAUUCGGUGGUGUCGCAGCCGCUAAAAAAAGCAGCGUCAAUGUUCAUCCUCUUUCUCCUUUUCUAGCGACUGAAAACACAUAAAUUUCCUUCACUUUUGCUUUCUCUUUCCU